CAUGGCUCAGGACGAACGCUAGCGGCGUGCCUAAUACAUGCAAGUCGAUGGGGAAGUGGUGCUUGCACCAUGGUAACCAUGGCGGACGGGUGAGUAACGCGUAAGGGACUUACCUGCAGGACCGGGAUAACAGGGGGAAACUCCUGACAAGACCGGAUAAUGUCAUGGAGCUGCAUGGCUUUAUGAUGAAAGGAGACGCCUGCGGAGAGCCUUGCGUCCUAUUAGCUAGUUGGUGAGGUAAGGGCUCACCAAGGCGAAGAUAGGUAGCCGGCCUGAGAGGGUGGACGGCCACAAGGGGACUGAGAUACGGCCCUUACUCCUACGG
rnacentral:rRNA from 1 species